rnacentral:misc_RNA from 1 species
GAUGAAGAACGUAGCGAAAUGCGAUAAGUAGUGUGAAUUGCAGAGUUCAGUGAAUCAUCGAAUCUUUGAACGCACAUUGCGCCCCUUGGUAUUCCAUGGGGCAUGCCUGUUCGAGCGUCAUUUGUACCUUCAAGCUCUGCUUGGUGUUGGGUGUUUGUCUCGCCUCUGCGUGUAGACUCGCCUCAAAACAAUUGGCAGCCGGCGUAUUGAUUUCGGAGCGCAGUACAUCUCGCGCUUUGCACUCAUAACGACGACGUCCAAAAGUACAUUUUUACACUCUUGACCUCGGAUCAGGUAGGGAUACCCGCUGAACUUAAGCAUAUCAAUAAGCGGAGGA